UACGAAGGGUGCAAGCGUUACUCGGAAUUACUGGGCGUAAAGCGUGCGUAGGUGGUUUGUUAAGUCUGUUGUGAAAGCCCCGGGCUCAACCUGGAAAUGGCAAUGGAUACUGGCAGGCUAGAGUGCGGUAGAGGGUAGUGGAAUUCCCGGUGUAGCGGUGAAAUGCGUAGAGAUCGGGAGGAACACCAGUGGCGAAGGCGGCUACCUGGACCAGCACUGACACUGAGGCACGAAAGCGUGGGGAGCAAACAGG
rnacentral:rRNA from 1 species